rnacentral:rRNA from 1 species
UGGCGACGGGUGAGUAACGCGUGGGGAACCUGCCUUGCACCGGGGGAUAACACUUAGAAAUAGGUGCUAAUACCGCAUAAGCGCACAGAGCCGCAUGGCUCAGUGUGAAAAACUCCGGUGGUGCAAGAUGGACCCGCGUCUGAUUAGCUGGUUGGCGGGGUAACGGCCCACCAAGGCGACGAUCAGUAGCCGGCCUGAGAGGGUGAACGGCCACAUUGGGACUGAGACACGGCCCAAACUCCUACGGAAGGCAGCAG